CCGAGUUUACAACUCCCAGACCCAAUGUGAACGUUACCAAACUGUUGCCUCGGCGGGAUUUCUGCCCCGGGCGCGUCGCAGCCCCGGACCAAGGCGCCCGCCGGAGGACCAAUUUACAAACUCUUUGUAUGUCCCUCUGCGGAUUUUUAUUAUACAUUCUGAGCUUUCUCGGCGCUCCUAGCGAGCGUUUCGAAAAUGAAUCA
rnacentral:misc_RNA from 1 species